rnacentral:tRNA from 1 species
GCCGCGGUCGCUUAAUUGGUUAUAGCGGAGGAUUGAUAACCCUCUGCCAGAAAUGGCUUCUGGGUUCGAAUCCCAGCCGCGGCG